GAUGAACGCUGGCGGCGUGCUUAAUACAUGCAAGUCGAGCGAACGGACGUGAAGCUUGCUUCUCUCGGGUUAGCAGCGGACGAGGGAGUAACACUUGGAUAGCCUCCAUAUAUGAGUGGGGUAACUUCUAGAAACCGGAGCUAAUACCGCAUAAACGAUUUAACCGCAUGGGUAGAAAGUGUAAGACGGUCUUGCUGUCGAUUAAAGAGGUAUCCGCGUUGCAUUAGCUAGUUGGUAAGGUAACGGCUUACCAAGGCAACGAUGCAUAGCCGGCCUGAGAGGGUGAUCGGCCACACUGGAACUGAGACACGGUCCAGACUCCUACGGGAGGCAGCAGUAGGGAAUCUUGGGCAAUGGGCGCAAGCCUGACGCAGCAAUGCCGCGUGGGUGAAGAAGGCCUUCGGGUCGUAAAGCUCUGUUAUUAGGGAAGAACAUCUGUGUAUGUAUCUGUGGAUAUCUUGACGGUACCUAAUGAAUAAGCACCGGCUAACUACGUG
rnacentral:rRNA from 1 species